GGUUGCAUCUGGGGACAGAGCCAAGGGCAAGAAAUGCAAGUUAUUCCCAAAGGGAAGCUGACUGGUUGGGUCUGGAUCCAAGCCAGCUCCUCCCUCUCGGACAAUGGAGCAGAACAGGGCUGCUAAUAACUGAGUAGUAGGAGAGGGUCCAGUAUCCCAGGGAGAGGAGGCUCUGCCAAAGGCUUGUGGGGCCGGAGACUGGCAGCUUCCUCCUUCACUCUGGAAGCCAGUAGGUGGGGCCAGCAGCACAGAUUCCCAGUCCCUGAAGCAGGUUCCCCUUCAACCUCAUUCUCUUAUCUGAAGCCCUCCUCCCCAACAGCAGGAAGGACUCUCCAGUGCCGCCCCGGGCCCUCCUGCCCUCGGGGUGUAGGAAAGCUGCCUCGGUCACUAGCUGCGCCAGUCCUUCUGCCGUGUCUGGGACAGUCCCUUUCCAGGUGAAUGUCCACCAGUGUGACUGGUUAGCUGGCCUCUGCUAAGGGCACUGUGCAUAACCUAAGUUCCUGUAACAACCUUGCUAUUCUGAGCCCCACUUCACGCACGAGGAAACAGAGGAUUCGGACAACAGCUCGGGGGCCAAGGGAGUCCCAGAUGGAGAAUCCCCACGGGGCGCGGGUCUGCGGCUGCGAAACAGCCCUCCUUCCCGGACGCCUGGAACUCGGGAGUGGCCUUUCCGGGGGACCCCCGCCCCCAACACAUGCACCCACGCUCCCGACCUGCGACCUCCCCUCGCAGCCCGGGCAUUGCCCUCCAGCCUCUCGCUCCGCUGAGAAGCAGCCCGGCGCCUUUAAGGGCCGCCCGCUUACCUUUGCUCCGGUCCGGGCGCCGCGGUCACCCCGCUCCGACCUCGUCCCCGGCGCCGCCAGCCGCGCCGCACCCGCAGACUCACCGCGCGUCCUGGGUCGCGGCGCGCCCGCUCCCGCCAGCCACUGCCGGGCUCCCGGGGGCUGAGCGCCGUGCCCUGCGCCCUGCCGGGGUCCCUGCCGGGGUCCCUGCCGGGCUCCGGGCGCUUCCUGCACUCCAGAAAGGGUGAGGGCCAUCUCUCAGCGCUGGCUCUGUGCAGCAGCCCACCUCCUGCUGAGGCGGGACUUCGCACCUCCCACUGAUUGAGGACACUGA
rnacentral:lncRNA from 1 species